CGCACUAGUCGGGGAGUUAGCGGUGCCCUGUACCUGCAACCCGCUACAGCAGGGAUGAAUCCCGGCCCCCGGAUCUGCGCUGUAUCGUCUGACCCUGGUAAGUGGUGAUGAUGGAUCGGUCCCGCGCAAGGUCGCCCCGUGAACCGUGUCAGGCGGGGAACCGAGCAGCACUAAGCGGACCGUGAUCUGUGCCGCGGGGUUCCCGCUCCUGAGCCGGCUGCCAGGGUAACGG
rnacentral:SRP_RNA from 1 species